CGGCGGACGGGUGAGUAACACGUGGGUAACCUACCUUAUAGAUGGGGAUAACUCCGGGAAACCGGGGCUAAUACCGAAUAACUCCAAGCACCUCCUGGUGCUUGGCUGAAAGACGGUUUCGGCUGUCACUAUAAGAUGGGCCCGCGGCGCAUUAGCUAGUUGGUAAGGUAACGGCUUACCAAGGCAACGAUGCGUAGCCGACCUGAGAGGGUGAUCGGCCACACUGGGACUGAGACACGGCCCAGACUCCUACGGGAGGCAGCAGUAGGGAAUCUUCCACAAUGGACGAAAGUCUGAUGGAGCAACGCCGCGUGAGUGAAGAAGGUUUUCGGAUCGUAAAACUCUGUUGUAAGGGAAGAACAAGUACAGUAGUAACUGGCUGUACCUUGACGGUACCUUAUUAGAAAGCCACGGCUAGCUACGUGCCAGCAGCCGCGGUAAUACGUAGGUGGCAAGCGUUGUCCGGAAUUAUUGGGCGUA
rnacentral:rRNA from 1 species